rnacentral:rRNA from 1 species
GACGAACGCUGGCGGCGUGCUUAACACAUGCAAGUCGAACGGAAAGGCCUCUUUCGGGGGGUACUCGAGUGGCGAACGGGUGAGUAACACGUGAGUAACCUGCCCUUGACUUUGGGAUAACUUCAGGAAACUGGGGCUAAUACCGGAUAGGAGCUCCUGCUGCAUGGUGGGGGUUGGAAAGUUUCGGCGGUUGGGGAUGGACUCUCGGCGUAUCAGCUUGUUGGUGGGGUAGUGGCUUACCAAGGGAUUUACGGGUAGCCGGCCGGAGGGGGGGAUCGGCGCGAGUGGAGCUGAGACGCGGUCUAGAGGCCUACGGGAGGCAGCAGUAGGGAAUCUUGCGCAAUGGGGGAAAGGCUGACGAAGCAACGCCGGGUGAGUGCUGAAGGUCUUCGGGUCGUAUAACUGUGUUAUGAGGGAAGAACAAAUGGGUAAGUAACUAUGCACGUCUUGACGGUACCUAAUCAGAAAGCAACGGCUAACUACGUG